GACCGAGCCCGUAGGGUAAGGUUUGUACAAAAAGGCCAGUGGCGUAGCCAGGAUUUCUGGCCAAGGGGCGCAAAAAAUUCAGGGGGGGGCACUUCAAACAAAAUGAAAACUGAAAAGAAGAAAACAAAGUACGUACACAUAGGCACACCCAAUUAGUUUUGUUUAAUUGUAAAACUGCAAAUACAACAAACGUUAAAUUGAAUACCAAAGGUAUAACAACGCUAUAUAAGGAAUAAAAUAUUCACACUGAGCCACACGUUAACCAGUGCCGUAAGAAAC